CCUACGGGAGGCAGCAGUGGGGGAUAUUGGACAAUGGGGGGAACCCUGAUCCAGCGACGCCGCGUGAGUGAAGAAGUAUUUCGGUAUGUAAAGCUCUGUCAGCAGGGAAGAAAGAAAUGACGGUACCUGACCAAGAAGCCCAGGCUAACUACGUGCCAGCAGCCGCGGUAAUACGUAGGGGGCAAGCGUUAUCCGGAAUUACUGGGUGUAAAGGGAGCGUAGACGGUUAAGUAAGUCUGGAGUGAAAGGCCGGGGCCCAACCCCGGGACUGCUCUGGAAACUAUUGAACUUGAGUGCAGGAGAGGCAGGCGGAAUUCCUGGUGUAGCGGUGAAAUGCGUAGAUAUCAGGAGGAACACCGGCGGCGAAGGCGGCCUGCUGGACUGAAACUGACGUUGAGGCUCGAAAGCGUGGGGAGCAAACAGGAUUAGAUACCCGAGUAGUC
rnacentral:rRNA from 1 species